GUAAAUUGGAGGAACUAUAUGUAAAUAUAGAAAUUUCAAGGACUAAACUGUUAAGUUGCAAAAAGAAAAAAAUAAAGAAAACCGAAAAUUUCGGUUUUAUCCCACCGCCUCCGACGCUCUAGAGAGGAGCGGUGGGGCGUGGGGAGAAGAAGAGAGGAAGAAGAGGGAGAAGAGAAGAAGAAAAAGAAGAAGAAGAAGAGAGGGAAGAGGGAGAGGAAAGAGAGAUAGCUGCAGCUAGGGCUGCAGCACCUCUGUUUCGUGUAGGAGGAAACAUAUGAGUUCAUGUGUGGGGUCAUCGGGGAGGAGAAGGGAAUAAGAGGAGAAGAAGAGAAGCAGAGGAAGAAGAAGAAGAAGAAAUGAGGAGGUGGCUGCGGCAAGGGCUGCAGCGAGGAGCUGUGGGGCGUUAGGGAGGAGAAAGGAAGAAGAGGAGAAGAAGAAAAGAAGAAGAAGAGGGAAAAGAAGAGAGGAGGAAGAAGAGGGAGAAGAGAAGAAUAGAAGAAGAAGAAAAAGAGAGGGAAGUGGGAGAGGAGCGAGAGGUGGCAGCA
rnacentral:lncRNA from 1 species